rfam:Schistosoma haematobium scaffold581_8, whole genome shotgun sequence.
ACCCAGCUAAUAAGUCCUAAAUAGGACGAAACGCACGUUCUGGAU